GAGCAUCAAGACACAGCAGAGCUGCAGGCGUAGACAGGCAGUACUGCAGGGAUGCGACCUCUGCUUACUAACCUCAAGUAAAAGCAAUUCCUGCUC
rnacentral:miRNA from 12 species